rnacentral:rRNA from 1 species
AUUGAACGCUGGCGGCAUGCUUUACACAUGCAAGUCGAACGGUAACAGGCCGCAAGGUGCUGACGAGUGGCGAACGGGUGAGUAAUGCAUCGGAACGUGCCCAGUCGUGGGGGAUAACUACUCGAAAGAGUAGCUAAUACCGCAUACGAUCUAUGGAUGAAAGCGGGGGACCGUAAGGCCUCGCGCGAUUGGAGCGGCCGAUGUCAGAUUAGGUAGUUGGUGGGGUAAAGGCUCACCAAGCCAACGAUCUGUAGCUGGUCUGAGAGGACGACCAGCCACACUGGGACUGAGACACGGCCCAGACUCCUACGGGAGGCAGCAGUGGGGAAUUUUGGACAAUGGGCGCAAGCCUGAUCCAGCAAUGCCGCGUGCAGGAAGAAGGCCUUCGGGUUGUAAACUGCUUUUGUACGGAACGAAACGGCUCUGGUUAAUACCCGGGGCUAAUGACGGUACCGUAAGAAUAAGCACCUGCUAACUACGUG